rnacentral:snRNA from 1 species
UCUGUUCUAAUCAGUGUGAAAACUGAUCUUGGGGAAACUUCUCCAAGCUUUUUCACAUUUAUUUCUGAACUCGGACUCUCUCUGUUCAGCUUGCUGGGAGACAGGCCAGGUUUCCCGGGGAUUGAAAUCCCGAUUUCACUGUACCCGGCGAGGCC